GCAUCUGCGGUAAUUCCAGCUCCAAUAGCGUAUAUUAAAGUUGUUGCAGUUAAAAAGCUCGUAGUUGAACUUCUGUACAGUCUCACUUCUGGCUUCGGUCAAGGUGUUGGCUGUGCAUCCGCUUGCAAAGCUGGUUCGGCCUUAACUGGUCGGCUAGUAGAGUAAGCCCUUUACUUUGAAAAAAAUUAGAGUGUUUCAGGCAGGCAAUGGCUCGAAUACAUUAGCAUGGAAUAAUGGAAUAGGACUUUUGUCCAUUUGGUUGGUUCUUGGACUUAAGUAAUGAUUAAAAGGGACAGUUGGGGGCAUUGGUAUUUAACAGUCAGAGGUGAAAUUCUUGGAUUUGUUAAAGACUAACUUAUGCGAAAGCAUUUGCCAAGGAUGUUUUCAUCGAUCAAGAACGAAAGU
rnacentral:rRNA from 1 species